GACGAACGCUGGCGGCGUGCUUAACACAUGCAAGUCGAACGGAAAGGCCCUUCUUUUGUGGGGUGCUCGAGUGGCGAACGGGUGAGUAACACGUGAGUAAUCUGCCCUUGACUUUGGGAUAACUUCAGGAAACUGGGGCUAAUACCGGAUAGGAGCUCCUGCUGCAUGGUGGGGGUUGGAAAGUUUCGGCGGUUGGGGAUGGACUCGCGGCUUAUCAGCUUGUUGGUGGGGUUGUGGCUUACCAAGGCCUUGACGGGUAGCCGGCCUGAGAGGGUGACCGGCCACAUUGGGACUGAGAUACGGCCCAGACUCCUACGGGAGGCAGCAGUGGGGAAUAUUGCACAAUGGGCGGAAGCCUGAUGCAGCAACGCCGCGUGCGGGAUGACGGCCUUCGGGUUGUAAACCGCUUUCGCCUGUGACGAAGCGUAAGUGACGGUAAUGGGUAAAGAAGCACCGGCUAACUACGUG
rnacentral:rRNA from 1 species